rnacentral:rRNA from 1 species
CCCCACUGCUAUCGGGAUGGGACUAAGACAUGCUAGUCGUGCGUCUCCAAGUUAUGGUGGAGAAGCGGCGUACAGCUCAGUAACACGUGGCUAACCUACCCUUGGGACGGAAACAUCUCCGGGAAACUGGAGCUAAUUUCCGAUCGGUGACGAUUCCUGGAAUGGGUCAUCGCCUAAAGGGCGUUUAGACCAUGCUUCUAGACGUUGCCUAAGGAAGGGACUGCGGCCGAUCAGGUUGUUGGUAGGGUAACGGCCUACCAAGCCUAUAACCGGUACGGGCCCUGAGAGGGGUAGCCCGGAGAUGGGAACUGAGACAAGGUCCCAGGCCCUACGGGGCGCAGCAGGCGCGAAAACUCCACAAUGCACGAAUGUGUGAUGGGGUUAUCCCGAGUGCUGUCCGCUGAGGAUAGCUUUUUCCUAGUGUAAGUAGCUAGGGGAAUAAGAGGGGGGCAAGACUGGUGUCAGCCGCCGCGGUAAUACCAGCCCCUCGAGUGGUAGGGACGAUUAUUUGGCCUAAAGCGUUCGUAGCCGGCUUAGCAAGUCCUCCGUGAAAUCCAACGACUUAAUCGUUGGGCGUGCGAAGGAUACUGUUAGGCUUGGGGACGGGAGAAGUCGACGGUACUCUCGGUGUAGGGGUGAAAUCCUAUAAUCCCGAGAGGACCACCAGUGGCGAAGGCGGUCGACUAGAACGUGCCUGACGGUGAUGGACGAAAGCUGGGGGAGCGAACCGGAUUAGAUACCCGGGUAGUCCCAGCUGUAAACGAUGCAGGCUAGGUGUUGGGGUAGCCACGAGCUACCCCAGUGCCGCAGGGAAGCUCUUAAGCCUGCCGCCUGGGAAGUACGGUCGCAAGGCUGAAAUUUAAGAGGUAGAAAGCCUCUUGAACAGCAGACUUAAAGGAAUUGGCGGGGGAGCACCACAAGGGGUGAAGCCUGCGGUUU